GUUGGGUUAAGUCCCGCAACGAGCGCAACCCUUGCCCCGUGUUACUAACAGGUAAAGCUGAGGACUCUCGGGGGACUGCCGGCGUCAAGCCGGAGGAAGGUGGGGACGACGUCAAGUCAUCAUGGCCCUUACGCCCAGGGCUACACACGUGCUACAAUGGCCAGGACAGAGGGCAGCAAGACCGCAAGGUGGAGCGAAUCCCAGAAACCUGGUCCAAGUUCGGAUUGUGGGCUGCAACUCGCCCGCAUGAAGCCGGAAUCGCUAGUAAUCGCGGAUCAGCUACGCCGCGGUGAAUACGUUCCCGGGCCUUGUACACACCGCCCGUCACGCCAUGGAAGCCGGGAGUGCCCGAAGUCCGUGUCCUAACCGCAAGGAGGGAGCGGCCGAAGGCAAGUUCGGUGACUGGGGCGAAGUCGUAACA
rnacentral:rRNA from 1 species